AAAUUACGAUAUCGACAAUGACAUUCUAAUUUCUUGAAAAUUCCUUUGUAAGUUAUAAUUUCUUUAUUUUCACUUCGCAGUAAUAAAAGGCGCUGAUCUUAUUUUGAAAAUUGAAGUGAAAAUUGAAAUGGCAGGUCUUAUAUUUGCUGGCUUGACAUUGUCUGGUUGGCGUCCAUCCGACUUUGUGCCAACAUUUGCAACCCGGUCCAAAAGGAGACACGGGAGCGACUUUUUCCCAUAGGACAUCCCCAUGAAAGCAGCUGGCAUGUUUUCAAAGCCUUCGGUGACGUGCUCCCGGCAGAUCAGCUUCCCCUGCAGGUGCAACCCGAGUAUGGUAAAAUUACACUGAAGAUGUGGGACAGUGGAAAUAAGGUGGCUAUCCGAAUGAAGACAGGGGAACAUAAGAUGGAAAGAGACAAGGCUCACCUCUUUGACCCAUGCCAUCAGCCUCUUGAGGGAUUCGGGGUGCUUGUGUUCCCACCUGCUCUGCAUGAAGCCCUCCAUCUUCAGCUGCUUGAAGAUCAUGGUCAGGUGGGGGUACGGGCCUGAGAGACAGGAGGGAUUAAUUGUGGGUAAAAAAAAAAAAAAAAAAAAAAAAAU